rnacentral:rRNA from 1 species
UACGUAGGGCGCAAGCGUUGUCCGGAAUUAUUGGGCGUAAAGAGCUCGUAGGCGGCUUGUCACGUCGGGGUGUGAAAGCCCGGGGCUUAACCCCGGGUCUGCAUUCGAUACGGGCUAGCUAGAGUGUGGUAGGGGAGAUCGGAAUUCCUGGUGUAGCGGUGAAAUGCGCAGAUAUCAGGAGGAACACCAGUGGCGAAGGCGGCUACCUGGACCGGUUCUGACGCUGAUGCGCGAAAGCGUGGGUAGCAAACAGG